UAGAGCGUGGUGCUAAUAACG
rnacentral:misc_RNA from 1 species